GAAGGUAUAGCUCAAGUGGUAGGGUGCAUGCUUAGCAGGCAUGAGGUUCUGGGUUCAAUCCCCAGUACUUCCA
rnacentral:tRNA from 1 species